UUUUGUAAAAUAUGGUCACCAUCUUCAAUAUAGUUUGGAAGGUAAACAUUCCAUGAUAGGAGAGAUACUUAUCACGUGUGAGUUAUCAGCCUACUGGAUACUGAGGGGGAGGGAAGGAAAAUAAGAAAAUGGUGUGAACUUUAGUGAUCACGUGAUGAUUACCCAGGCUAAUUAGGAGGACAACUUAGACUCGAUGGAGAUAAAGUGCGGUGGUUCUUCUAGGUCCAGGCAGAAGGGGGUGGAAGGUACAGAGAGUACGUGGGAAGAUCUAUUUCAAGGUGCCAGUUUUGGCUUAGAGUUGCAGAGAUUUACUUAUAGUUCCCUGGCCCACUGAUUUUCCCACCACAGAGAGGCAGAACAACAUGGCAACAGGAGCCUAUAAAAGACUUUACCUGCAGUAGACAGGAAGCAAAGAGAGAAGGCAUGGAGACCAGGUACAACCUUCGAAAGCCUUCUCACAAUGACCUACUUUUCCUAGGUGUUCACUACUUUUCCAAAACAGCACCACCUGCUGGGCACCAAGCAUGUAGCACCCAUGGGGGACACUUCAUACUCCAAGCAUACCAAGGGAGAUGAGAAUUAAAGCUAGCAUUGCCAAUCAUAAUUGUAAUGUACUUAAAGAAUUACAAGAGACUUUGAGUUUGUAAGGAAAAACCUGAAAUUAUGAAUACUAUGUUAAAAGCAAUAUUCAGAUAAAAAUACAGCAGAAUGGGGGAACUGAGACUAUAUUUUAUUUGUAGAGAUCUGUCCUAAACAAUUAUCUAACCACUCAGUCUUUGCCCUUUGAUUUUUGUACACAGAAACCUGCUGACAACAAAACAGAAUGAUUUGAAUUUAGAAUUUGGAGUUACUGUUUUCUGUACUGCAUGAUAUGGCAUAUUAUUUACCAUUAUAAAUAAAAAGUUAUUCAAAUUAUCAGCCUGAGGAGCUAGAUAAGAAAUUUCUUCAUUUUGAAAACCCAGAACUGACUUAAUCAAUUACUUACUCUUAUAAACUUAAGUUUCUAAUUUUAAUGCAUUAUAAACAGCAUUCUAUUACAGAAUAUUCUAUUAUAAAAUUUGUCCACUUUUAAAAAUCUUUAAGAAGUAUCUAUAAGCAGAAUUACAACAUUAGUGAGUGCCUUAUGGCACUCAAUCCCAGUUAUGUGGUUCUAAUUCUACAUGACCAGAGCUUCAGGGUACUGAGUCACAGGAUGACACAGCGUAUGGGAGUGCUUCAGGAAAGCAAGUGUGUGAGGAUCACAGCAGGGCUCUACACUACAAAGUCACACUGCAACAGCUCUCUUCAAACUUCAAGGGCCAGUACCAAAGUGUUAGUAUAUCUGCAAGUACUGGAUAAUAAAAACAAUUUUGGGUCCUUUUAAGGGAAAGGGAUCUUUAAAAAGCCCAGUUAACUUUCAAAGCUAACUAUUAUCUCAAACAUUGUAUUAUCUUAUGAAAAACCUCUACCUCACAAGUGGGAAAAAUUCCUGGUCAUAUAGUCUCUAAUAAAACCAAGUACAAGGGUUGUUUGUUUUGUUUUGUCUUGGUGUGUGUGUGGCUAAAUAGUUAGACAAAAGUUUCACAUGAAGAACUCAGAGCAGCUCUGCGUGGCAGCUUCCUGUAACAAUGGCAAUGGUCUACACUCACUAUGUUCUAUAAGACUGGUGCUAGUCACAGGCAGCCUACUCAACCCUUGGUCUGACUAGUGUGACUUAGAGUACCAAACAUUUCAUCAUU
rnacentral:lncRNA from 1 species